CCUACGGGGGGCAGCAGUGGGGGAUAUUGGACAAUGGGGGGAACCCUGAUCCAGCGACGCCGCGUGAGUGAAGAAGUAUUUCGGUAUGUAAAGCUCUGUCAGCAGGGAAGAAAGAAAUGACGGUACCUGACCAAGAAGCCCCGGCUAACUACGUGCCAGCAGCCGCGGGAAUACGUAGGGGGCAAGCGUUAUCCGGAAUUACUGGGUGUAAAGGGAGCGUAGACGGUUAAGUAAGUCUGGAGUGAAAGGCCGGGGCCCAACCCCGGGACUGCUCUGGAAACUAUUGAACUUGAGUGCAGGAGAGGUAAGCGGAAUUCCUAGUGUAGCGGUGAAAUGCGUAGAUAUUAGGAGGAACACCAGGGGCGAAGGCGGCUUACUGGACUGUAACUGACGUUGAGGCUCGAAAGCGUGGGGAGCAAACAGGAUUAGAUACCCCUGUAGUC
rnacentral:rRNA from 1 species